CAAGAUGGUACUCUCAAAACAGUUAGAAAAAAAAGUGGUGAAGGGGUCAGGUAUAUAAUACUCCAUGCAGGAUCAGAAGAUGGAUUUGUACCAAACGCAAGUCUAAUUUUUAAAUCUGGUAGCAAGUCCGGAGACUAUCAUGACUCCAUGAAUUGCCUUAACUUUGAGAAGUGGUUUGAACAACAAUUGAUCCCGAACUUGGAUGAACCUUCUCUUAUAAUUAUGGACAACGCUUCUUACCAUUCAGGAUUGGUAGAAAAAAGUCCAAAUCAAUGCUGGACAAAAAUGUCACUUAUAAAGUGGCUAACAUCACGAGACAUUACAUUAGCACCAACAAUGAUGCAAGAUCAGAUCUGGGAAGUAGUGAAAAAUCAUAUACCACCAAAAUUAUUUAGAUUGAACGAAUUAGCAUUACAACAUGGUCAUCGUGUUUUGGGACUUCCUCCAUAUCACUGCGAGUAUAAUCCAAUCGAAAUGGUAUGGUCAGAAUGCAAACGGCAUUACGAUGCAAGGAUCGGUUCAAUUCAGCCUGUCACACACAGUGCCGUUUUGUCUUUAUGGAAU